rnacentral:rRNA from 1 species
GCUACGGGGUGCUGCAGUGGGGAAUAUUGCACAAUAGGGGGAACCCUGAUGCAGCAAUGCCGCGUGGGUGAAGAAGCACUCAGGUGCGUAAAGCCCUGUCAGCAGGGAAGAAAAUGACAGUACGUGACCAAGAAGCACCGUUUAACUAAGUGCCAGUAGCAGCGGUAAUACGUAGGGGACAGGCGUUAUCCGGAUGUACUGGGUGUAAAGGGAGCGCAGGCGGUAUGGAAAGUCAGAUGUGAAACCCGAGGGCCCAACCCUGGGACUGCAUUUGAUACUGGCAUACUGGAGUGCCGGCGAGGUAAGUGGAAUUCUGAGUGUAGCGGUGAAAUGCGUAGAUAUUAGGAGGAACACCAGUGGCGAAGGCGGCUUACUGGACGGUAACUGACGCUGAGGCUCGAAAGCGUGGGGAGCAAACAGGAUUAGAUACCCUAGUAGUC